UUUAUGAAUAAUAAUUCAUAAUUGGGUAUCAAUUCUCAUAAAUUUAUUAAAAUGCAUAACUAAUAAAUUUAGGUCCACUACAACCCUUUGGUCCCUCAUGCGGUUUCUAUGAUCUUGCUUGAACAGAAGACCGCUCAUCUCUCCACAGCACGUUGGCUCCGAUACACCACUGUUCUAUUGGAUAUGCCUAACAUCACUGUCAAACGCUGUAAUGUUUUAAAUCCUGCAACUUUGCUCCCCAUUCCAGGAGACAGAGAAGAUCAUAACUGUGUUGCUUUGCUUGAGCAGGUUUGCACUCCACGUACAGAUCUGUCUGAAACACCUAUAACUAACCCAGACCUGAUUCUCUUUGUUGAAGGGUCUGCUUCACGCAAUGUUAACACAGGAAAAAAUCAUGUUGGGUUUGCCGUAGCCACUCAACACUCAACACUGAAAUCUGGCCCCUUACAAUCUCAUUAUUCAGCUCAAGCAGCUGAGUUGGUAGCACUCCCUGAAGCUCGUAAAUUGGCCAAAGACAAAUCAGUAACUAUUUACACAGAUUCUCAAUCUGCAUUUGCAACCGUGCAUGAUUUCUCUGCAUUGUGAAAACAUAGAAAUUUCUUAAAAUCUGAUGAUAAGCCUAUUCUGCAUCAUGAUAAAAUAGCUGCAUUGCUUGAAGCAGUGAUGUUGCUGCUAUUUCUGUAUGCAAAUGCCAGGCCCAUACUAAUUCAAAGAGACUUUGUUUCUACAGGUAACGUGAAAGCUGAUGCGCAUGCACACAUACACCCCUGCACGCAGACACAGACACAGAUAUUCCUCUGACAUUGCAUGCUAUGCAACAAUUUGCUACAUCAGAUGAGAAGCGCACAUGGCAACAGGCUGGUUGUAAAUAUGCUGAUGGAUUAUGGAUUGGUCCCAAUGACAAACCAUGUUUACCCAAACACAUUAUGCUAAAUUGACACAUGGGUUGCAUCAUGUGUCAAAGGGAGGGAUGUUCGAUCAACUAAAGCAACACUGGUUUAUGAAAGGUUUCACAACAUACACUCACAACUUUUGCCAAACAUGCUCAAUCUGCCUAACACACAACACAGGGAGAGGAUUAAGGGUUCCCUAGUGGCACACCCAACGCCAGAUAAACCAUUUGGUCACCCGAUGAUGGACUUUUUUGAGCUUAACCCGAGUCAAGGCAAAAGGUACUGUUUGGUCAUAGUUGAUAUGUUUUCCAAAUGGAUGGAGGUUUUUCCAACUUCAAAACAAGACAGUGCAGCUGUAGCAAAAGCCUUGAUUUCUGAGAUCUUGCCGCGCUGGGGCGUGCCUUCUAAAAUCAGCAGUGACAACGGCACACCUUUUGUAACAACUUGGCUCUUACAUGGGCAUUGAUUUGAGACAACAUUGUUCCUUCCACCCAGCGAGUGAUGGAGCAGUAGAAAAAGAGAAUGGAACAUUAAAAGCUAAGCUAGCUAAAUGUUGUGAAGACACAGGUCUUCCAUGGACAAAGGCGCUGCCGUUGGUGUUGAUGUACAUGAGAAUGAGGGUAAGAACUAGGUCAGGUUUGAGCCUGUUUGAGAUUCUUUUUGGGCGCUCUCCACGAACAGGGAUAGAGGCAGCAAGCAGAGUACCCCUUGACACACAUCACUGUGAGAAUGAUUGAAUGACUUUGUCCUCUGCUCUUGCCCGUCUACAUCAGCAGGUUAAAGAGGCCCUACCCUCUCCAGCGACAGAACCACUGCACAGUCUCCUAGAUUUUGUGGUGGUUAAGGACUUCAGAAGAAAGCACUGGAAGGCGCAGAGGUGGAAAGGUGCUCCUGACAACAUACACAGCGGUAAAAGUGGCUGAAAGAGCUACGUGGAUUCACGCCAGCCACUACAGGAAGGUGCCUGCACCAGUACAACAAUAGAUCAACAAGCGUGCACAAUCAGCAACUGAACCACAGUUUUCCCUGACCUUGUGUUGUGAGUGAAGGAGGGAUUGGGAACGCUUAGGCACCCUUUGUCUAGGACUCACAGGCUGUUAGACAGCAAACAUCAGCACAAGAGAGCUAGUGGGAAAACUCCUGGUCUCACCACUGCUGAUUUAAGUGACACCGCAAAAAAUUAAGAGUGAGUAGCAUGGUUGUCUCUGGAAGGAGACAUCCAUGGGACCCAGUCAGACACCCAAAUAUGUGUGGCCUACGAGGAACAACACAGAUGUUUGCUGCCAUUGCAAUAUCAUUAACAGUGCCUCUGUUGCAGUUCUUAUCACAAGCAUAAUGCACAAAAUCCACCACAACAGAACACCACAGUGAACUACAGGCAUUGACAUCAAAUAGCAGUGUUAGAGGCAAGAGAAGCACCCAAAGAGGCUGGGAUGCUUGGCUAAUGUUUAAUAACUCCUGUUGUAUGUUUGUGCCCAACAAUACAGCUCCAAAUGGUUAGGUGAACCCAGUGCUGGAAGGACUGCGUUCCCUACGAGAAGAACUUGCAGAGAACUCUGAAGUGGACACUAACAUGUUUGACAGAGCAUCAGACGGAUCCACAUCAGCAGUUUCAGCAGAAAUCUGACAAUGAAGCUGGUAUCAGUUGUCUUCCUCCUCCUGGCUCCUCUGUUGACCAGCUGCCAGCAGCUUGCCAUUUUUUAUGAGAAGCACACGGUCAGCUAGUAGCAGCCAAAUCUGGAGUGCACACGUAUUCGACUCUGUGUGACAUUCAGCGAGCCACCCCUUCCUGGCUGCUCAGGAGAUGCCGGGGGACGGC